UAUUUUUGUAAUGCCCUCUGCGGAGCUAAUUGGCCCUAAUAAACCUUGCAGAAGAAAGGCCCUGCCCAAAUGGGGGGAACUAUUUGCAGUCAAGAGUCAAGCCAGCUGGAGACGCCGCCCGUGAAGAGAAUGAGCCAGCAGUGCUACCAGCAAGUGACACCCCACUCCUCACUUCAAUACAAGUGAAACCCUGAGCAGGGACCAGAACGAGCUGACAUUCAGGCCUCGGUUACCUGAUGCCUCUCAAUCCUGAACGGGGAAAUAAAAGUCUGAAGGAGCUACAGAAACCCAGGGAAUGGAGAAAACCCAGGCAGUGCGGUACUCUGUCACGAGGUCAUAUGAUGACACGCAUGUCAGAAGGAGGAAGCACCAUGCAUAAGCACUCUGAAGACAACGUGCCUGACUUGGUGAGGAGACCUUCUGUCCAGGGCCAGCCAUAAGCAUUGACAACAUCCACUGUUCUAACUGUCCUGGGAAGGACCUGUAGGGGCUCAUAGAGGGAAACCAACUUUAUCAAGCUCAGGCUCUGUCACAGAGCGGUUCCCUUUGGCUCCACCACCACCCUAUGAGGGUGGAAUUCUUACCCCUGUUUUACAGGUGAGGACAUGUCACAUGCCCAGCAUUGGCCGGGGAGUGGGGAGACGGUCCUGCUCACUCCUAAGUCUUAGUGGGAAUGUAAAUUAGCCUAAUUCUCCAAAAGGCAAUUUUGCCUUAUAGCUCAAAGUCUUAAAACUACUCAUCCUACCCUUUUAGAAAAGUCCCUUAAUUGUCUUCGUCAGGGCAAGCUACCUUCCAUAACAAACAACCCCAGUCCUGGUGAGAGAAAGCAUGUUGGCAAAUCCUCUCCACAGGCUGGAUAGUGAAUGCUCUAGGCUUUGCAGGCCGUACCAUCUCUGUCGCACCAUCUCACCUCUGCCAUUGUGGUAUGAAAGAAGCCAUAGACAGUAAGUGAAUGAAUGGGUGUUGCUGUGCUCCAAUCAAACUUUACUUAUGGACCCUGAAAAUUGAAUUACGUGUAAUUUUCAUGUGUCACAAAAUACUAUUGUUUAAACCAUUUUUACCAGUGCACAAACUAUUUGAAGUUCAAAGGCCAGAGAAAAAGAGGCAGGAGGCUGGAUUUGGCCUGUGGCCCACAGUUAGCUGAUGCUGGCUUAAAGUUCCAGAAGUUUCCUCUCACUGAUGCUGCAAUCCAACAUGAGGGCUCCUGACUGGAAGGCCCUCCUCUGAGGCUCUCCGCCAGUGGCACCACAGGGAUCCAGAUGCUUCCAUCCUGUGCUCCACCUGCUCGAGCCCUCAGAACCUCUUCUGUUCACUGACGGAUGGAGAGAGAGGGCAUGGAGGAUCAUGCAGGUGGUUUUCGGGCAGUCCAGAGGUGCCCACAUCGCUUCCUCUCACAUCCCAUCGGUCACAAGUUAGGGAUGCUCCAAACUGCAG
rnacentral:lncRNA from 1 species